CAAUGCACCUGAAUUUCGUGUAGAUUUCGGUUAGAAAAAUGGCAAAGUAUGUUUUUAUUAUAAGUACUGAAUAGAUUCAAAAUUGUUUUCCGAUGAGCUAAGUCUUUUACGAACAAAUUGCAGGAGACGUCUCAUUUGGUUGUUUAAUCGGUGUUCGUUUUUAAGCCAUCGUCUUGAGUCGAAAAAAAGUCGACAGAAGUUUUAUUUUACUCUGUUGAUAACUCACAAUUGUUUGUGUCUGUGAAGACAGAGAGGGUGAAGAUUGUGGUGUUCUUUCAGCAGUACGACGAAAUGAAUGCAAGCAUUUGGAAUUGUCGAACACACAGGCAGUCUUAAUAAAAGGAGAAAACCUCGUUGAUGAUUUCACCAGAAAGAAAGAAGAAAACAGAAGGAACAUUUUAACGAAGCGGAAGUGGAGACUUCUCAGGUAACAUUUGAUGAUGUAUGGAAUUCCCUGGUUUGUGGACUGUGUUAACGAGUA